CCCAGAGCUUCUGCCACCGGUUCAGUGUUCUCCUGCCAACCCUGGCUGUGGCCGCAUCCUCAGGGGCCUUUCUCCACCUUAACGUCUGGUGUGUGACUGUGGGAGCUAGAACCAGGGCCCAAGAGAAGCCACUGUGCAAACAGCUCUGACCGCCCACAGCUGGAGGAGGAGAAGGGGCGUGAGCCCCGUGCAAAGAACCCCCGAAGCGGACAUAGGCGCUCUACCAAGACAGCUUUAUUGGACACCGGGAGCCCUGUGGGGCCCCAGCGGGGUGGCGGCCGCUCACUUCUGCCUAGACGACUUUCGCUUCCUCCCCUCCCAUCUUAUUUUCUUCAGCAAAUGCGGAAAGGCUCGGUACAAGGUGACCUUUCGUACGUUCCCGACGCUGUACAACCACCACCUCUGUCUGGUUCCAGAGCAUUUCCAUCUCCCCGAAUGGACACCUUGUACCCCUUAGCAGUUGAUCCCCAUCCCCUCCCCCAGCCGCUGGAGGCCACCGAU